UACGAAGGUCCCGAGCGUUAUCCGGAUUUAUUGGGUUUAAAGGGUGCGUAGGCGGGUUAUUAAGUCAGUGGUGAAAGCCUACAGCUUAACUGUAGAAUUGCCAUUGAUACUGAUGAUCUUGAGUACGAUUGAGGUAGGCGGAAUGUGUCAUGUAGCGGUGAAAUGCUUAGAUAUGACACAGAACACCGAUUGCGAAGGCAGCUUACUAAGUCGUAACUGACGCUGAUGCACGAAAGCGUGGGGAGCAAACAGG
rnacentral:rRNA from 1 species